GCAUGAUAAUUCGCCCUUUAAUUGUGGGCUUGUACGAAAGGAUAAACGAAGGCUUAACUGUCUCUUAAACACACAUAAAAAUUGGCCUUUAGGUGAAAAGACCUAAAUUUUAUUAGAGGACAAAAAGACCCCGUAGAGCUUUGUGUCUGAAUAAUUAUAUUUAUUUUUUAAAACAAUAAACAUAAAUUAAUAAAAUACACUUGGCUGGGGCGGUCAUGGAGAAAAAAACCUCCACAAACUUUUUAAGAUCUAUUAAAUCUUUAUCUUUAUGAUCCUUUCCAAGAUCAAAAAAAUUAGCUACCUCGGGGAUAACAGAUUAAUCCUUUUCGAGAGCUCACAUUGACAAAAGGGUUUGACACCUCGAUGUUGGCUUAGGGUACCCUAAGGGUCCGCAGAAGCCCUUAAUGGUAGGUUUGUUCAACCUUUAAAACCCU
rnacentral:rRNA from 1 species